AACGAACGCUGGCGGCAUGCCUAACACAUGCAAGUCGAACGAGACCUUCGGGUCUAGUGGCGCACGGGUGCGUAACGCGUGGGAACCUGCCCUUAGGUUCGGAAUAACUCCCCGAAAGGGGUGCUAAUACCGGAUAAUGUCUUCGGACCAAAGAUUUAUCGCCUUUGGAUGGGCCCGCGUUGGAUUAGCUAGUUGGUAGGGUAAAAGCCUACCAAGGCGACGAUCCAUAGCUGGUCUGAGAGGAUGAUCAGCCACACUGGGACUGAGACACGGCCCAGACCCCUACGGGAGGGAGCAGGGGGGAAUAUUGGACAAGGGGCGAAAGCCUGAUCCAGCAAUGCCGCGGGAGUGAUGAAGGCCUUAGGGUUGUAAAGCUCUUUUACCCGGGAUGAUAAUGACAGUCCCGGGAGAAUAAGCUCCGGCUAACCCCGU
rnacentral:rRNA from 1 species